AGAACGAACGCUGGCGGCAGGCCUCAAACAUGCAAGUCUAGGGGGUGUAGCAAUACAUCACCGGCGGACGGGUGCGUAACGCGUGGGAAUGUACCUAUUGGUUCGGAACAACUGAGGGAAACUUCAGCUAAUACCGGAUGAGCCCGAAAGGGGAAAGAUUUCUCGCCAAUAGAUCAGCCCGCGUCCGAUUAGCUAGUUGGUGGGGUUAAAGCCUACCAAGGCGACGAUCGGUAGCUGUUCUGAGAGGAAGAUCAGCCACACUGGGACUGAGACACGGCCCAGACUCCUACGGGAGGCAGCAGUUGGGAAUCUUGGACAAUGGGGGAAACCCUGAUCCAGCCAUGCCGCGUGAGUGAUGAAGGCCUUCGGGUUGUAAACUCUUUCGACGGGGACGAUAAUGACGGUACCCGUAGAAGAAGCUCCGGCUAACUCGUGCCAGCAGCCGC
rnacentral:rRNA from 1 species